ensembl:ribozyme RNase_MRP RNase MRP
GGGCAUUCCGAAGUCUUGCACUCUGGGCUACAAACUGAGAACCUGGUUUCUCCUUCCUGCCCAGGGGAAAGUCCCCGGACCGUUGGCAGAAAGUGCCCUGGUUUAAUCCAGCGCUGACUGGUUCUCACUGCUGUGAGCUGAGAUGUUCGUUAGAACUGAGCUUGGUGAUUGUCAGUCAGCAUUGUCAAUGUUCUAGUAAUGCAAGAAAGUUGCUGAUGAGUACUUAACACAACGGGGCUCAUUCUCAGAAUGCU